ACGCACGCUGGCGGCGUGCUUCACCCCUGCAAGUCGCACGGGAAGGCCCUGCUUUUGUGGGGUGCUCGAGUGGCGAACGGGUGAGUAACACGUGAGUAACCUGCCCUUGACUUUGGGAUAACUUCAGGAAACUGGGGCUAAUACCGGAUAGGAGCUCCUGCUGCAUGGUGGGGGUUGGAAAGUUUCGGCGGUUGGGGAUGGACUCGCGGCUUAUCAGCUUGUUGGUGGGGUAGUGGCUUACCAAGGCUUUGACGGGUAGCCGGCCUGAGAGGGUGACCGGCCACAUUGGGACUGAGAUACGGCCCAGACUCCUACGGGAGGCAGCAGUGGGGAAUAUUGCACAAUGGGCGGAAGCCUGAUGCAGCAACGCCGCGUGCGGGAUGACGGCCUUCGGGUUGUAAACCGCUUUCGCCUGUGACGAAGCGUGAGUGACGGUAAUGGGUAAAGAAGCACCGGCUAACUACGUG
rnacentral:rRNA from 1 species